rnacentral:misc_RNA from 1 species
GCUUUCUAAAGCCUUUGUCUGGAAAAUUCUCAUGGACAGCACAAUAAUAUCUCGCAAUCGAAUAUCAUUAGCCAUACUGAAUGGUCGAGAGGUUCCAUCUGUGUUGAAUGGUAGUGAAAUCCCAUUAGAACAAAUUAGCACAAAUUGUGCUGAGAGACCAUAUGGAACUUUAAUAUCUAGAUCAGGUGAAUAUUUUUCUUCUAUUGCUACAUCAUCUGUAGAACUGGUCUUAACUUGAUACCUAGAUCUUUCCAAGAUUAAAGUUGUCGGCUCCCAAUCUUCGGAAGAAUCUAUCCAUAGUAAAACAUUAAAAAUUG